UUGCUCCCGGAUGUUAGCGGCGGACGGGUGUAGUAACACGUGGGUAACCUGCCUGUAAGACUGGGAUAACUCCGGGAAACCGGAGCUAAUACCGGAUAGUUCCUUGAACCGCAUGGUUCAAGGAUGAAAGACGGUUUCGGCUGUCACUUACAGAUGGACCCGCGGCGCAUUAGCUAGUUGGUGAGGUAACGGCUCACCAAGGCGACGAUGCGUAGCCGACCUGAGAGGGUGAUCGGCCACACUGGGACUGAGACACGGCCCAGACUCCUACGGGAGGCAGCAGUAGGGAAUCUUCCGCAAUGGACGAAAGUCUGACGGAGCAACGCCGCGUGAGUGAUGAAGGUUUUCGGAUCGUAAAGCUCUGUUGUUAGGGAAGAACAAGUGCAAGAGUAACUGCUUGCACCUUGACGGUACCUAACCAGAAAGCCACGGCUAACUACGUGCCAGCAGCCGCGGUAAUACGUAGGUGGCAAGCGUUGUCCGGAAUUAUUGGGCGUAAAGGGCUCGCAGGCGGUUUCUUAAGUCUGAUGUGAAAGCCCCCGGCUCAACCGGGGAGGGGUCAUUGGAAACUGGGAAACUUGAGUGCAGAAGAGGGAGAGUGCAACUCCACGUGUAGCGGUGAAAUGCGUAGAGAUGUGGAGG
rnacentral:rRNA from 1 species